rfam:Ixodes scapularis strain Wikel colony gcontig_1107728693404, whole genome shotgun sequence.
GCCGGGAUGGUCAGAUCGGUUAAGGCGUCGCCCCGGAUAGGCGAAGGUUGCGAAUUCGAUUCCCGCUCCUGGCC